CUCCCCCAAAAUAGACACAGAGGUCAGACACUGUCGUCGUGGAGCUCAGAGGUCAGUGGGGAAGAUGGAGUAUGAAUAAAGUGUUACAAUGCAACGUGUCCAGCUUCUGCAGGAGGAAGUACAGAAGCUCCAAGAUUAGGCCACACAGGGUUGAAACCUGCUUCUGCCGCUGACUGGCUGUCUGUCCUUCAUCAGGUCAUUUAACCUCUAAAUGUUGCCAACACCGUUCUACGUGAAUGAAGGUGUCUGGAGUGCUUGCACCCAGAGAAGGUUGUGAGAUCGUUGUCAUCACCCAGACGUGGUAGCAGACACCUGCACUCGCACUCAGAUGAAUCUGGGGCUGGCCUGGGACCUCGACGCAGACAUCUGGUUGCAGCCGAAAGACAUCGUCCCUCACCUUAAAUUAAGGACGUUAACGUGAAAUU